rnacentral:rRNA from 1 species
CGGGGGCACGGGGGGCCUACGGGAGGCAGCAGUGGGGAAUNUUGGACAAUGGGCGAAAGCCUGAUCCAGCGACGCCGCGUGAAGGAAGAAGUCCUUCGGGAUGUAAACUUCUGAACUAAUCGAAUAANAGGGUAGUGGACACACUACAGAAGAAGGUAGAUUAGGAAAAGUCCCGGCUAACUACGUGCCAGCAGCCGCGGUAAGACGUAGGGGGCGAGCGUUGCCCGGAAUCACUGGGUGUAAAGGGGACGUAGGCGGAUGAUCAAGUCAUCUGUGAAAAGAUUGCUCAACGAUUGGCUUGCGGAUGAAACUGGUCAUCUUGGGCGUAGCAGAGGUAGACGGAAUUACCUGAGUAGGGGUGAAAUCCGCAGAUACAGGUAAGAANGCCGGUGAAGAAGUUGGUCUACUGGGCUACAGCUGACGCUGAGGUCCGAAAGCCAGGGGAGCGAACCGGAUUAGAUACCCGGGUAGUCCUGGCUGUAAACGAUGCUCACUAGGUGUAGGGAGCGAAAGACUCUCUGUGCUGAAGCGAACGCGCUAAGUGAGCCACCUGGGGAGUACGUCCGCAAGGAUGAA